rfam:Glycine max cultivar Williams 82 chromosome 17, whole genome shotgun sequence.
UCCUAUGAUGGCAUGAUAUCUUUGAGACCUGAUUGUCUAAUUUGAUGACAACUAUAAGCAUAAUCGCUGAGGAU